AAUAUUUGUCAAUUGAGGCAACUCUGAACCAGCCAUGACGCGUGCAGGAUGCCGGUCCUAUGGAUUGUAAACUGCUUUUGUACAGGAAGAAAACAUACUACGUGUAGUAAAUUGACGGUACUGUAAGAAUAAGGAUCGGCUAACUCAGUGCCAGCAGCCGCGGUAAUACGGAUGAUCCAAGCGUUAUCCGGAAUCAUUGUGUUUAAAGGGUCCGUAGGCGGCCUUAUAAGUCAUCGAUGAAAGUUUUUGGCUUAACCAAAAAAUUGCCGUUGAUACUGGAGGGCUUGAAUUUUUGUUAAGUAACUAGAAUAUGUAGUGUAGCGGUGAAAUGCUUAGAUAUUACAUGGAAUACCAAUUGCGAAGGCAGGUCACUAAGAUUUAACUGACGCUGAUGGACGAAAGCGUGGGUAGCGAACA
rnacentral:rRNA from 1 species